GGAAUCUUCGGCAAUGGACGAAAGUCUGACCGAGCAACGCCGCGUGAGUGAAGAAGGUUUUCGGAUCGUAAAACUCUGUUGGUAGAGAAGAACGUUGGUGAGAGUGGAUAGCUCAUCAAGUGACGGUAACUACCCAGAAAGGGACGGCUAACUACGUGCCAG
rnacentral:rRNA from 1 species